rnacentral:tRNA from 1 species
UGCCUCCUGGCUAUCGGGUGGGCCGGGACUCCCCUUCCCGACGAUCACCUGUUCGGUGCAGCUGGUGGCGA